rnacentral:tRNA from 1 species
UGCCGGGUCGUCUAGUGGUAGGACAUCGCCCUCUGGAGGCGAGUACCGGGGUUCGAAUCCCUGCCCGGCAG